rnacentral:rRNA from 1 species
UUGACCUCGGAUCAGGUAGGAAUACCCGCUGAACUUAAGCAUAUCAAUAAGCGGAGGAAAUCCCCCCCCAACUUUUA